GUAGAGAUGGCAGAUGAAGUGCAGUAGGUUUAGGCCCUAAAUAUGGGAGUGUACUCUCUCUUUACU
rnacentral:tRNA from 1 species